rnacentral:rRNA from 1 species
UAGGGAAUCUUCGGCCAUGGACGAAAGUCUGACCGAGCACCGCCGCGUGAGUGAAGAAGGUUUUCGGAUCGUAAAACUCUGUUGUUAGAGAAGAACAAGGACGUUAGUAACUGAACGUCCCCUGACGGUAUCUAACCAGAAAGCCACGGCUAACUACGUUCCAGCAGCCGCGGUAAUACGUAGGUGGCAAGCGUUGUCCGGAUUUAUUGGGCUUAAAGCGAGCGCAGGCGGUUUCUUAAGUCUGAUGUGAAAGCCCCCGGCUCAACCGGGGAGGGUCAUUGGAAACUGGGAGACUUGAGUGCAGAAGAGGAGAGUGAAAUUCCAUGUGUAGCGGUGAAAUGCGUAGAUAUAUGGAGGAACACCAGUGGCGAAGGCGGCUCUCUGGUCUGUAACUGACGCUGAGGCUCGAAAGCGUGGGGAGCAAACAGG